rnacentral:rRNA from 1 species
AGAGUUUGAUCCUGGCUCAGGAUGAACGCUGGCGGCGUGCCUAACACAUGCAAGUCGAGCGCGAUUAGUUGGACUGGAGACUUCGGUCAAAGGGAAGACUAUGAGAGCGGCGGACGGGUGAGUAACGCGUGAGCAACCUGCCCUGUACAGGGGGAUAGCCACUGGAAACGAUGAUAACUACCCCAUAAACCCCCGAGGUCAAAGGAGCAAUCCGGUGAGAGAUGGGCUCGCGUCUGAUUAGCUAGUUGGUGAGGUAACGGCUCACCAAGGCGACGAUCAGUAGCCGACCUGAGAGGGUGAACGGCCACACUGGAACUGAGACACGGUCCAGACUCCUACGGGAGGCAGCAGUGGGGAAUAUUGCACAAUGGGCGCAAGCCUGAUGCAGCAACGCCGCGUGAGUGAUGAAGGCCUUCGGGUCGUAAAACUCUGUCCUAAGGGAAGAAGAAGUGACGGUACCUUAGGAGGAAGCCCCGGCUAACUACGUGCCAGCAGCCGCGGUAAUACGUAGGGGGCAAGCGUUAUCCGGAAUCACUGGGCGUAAAGGGUGCGUAGGCGGCUGAUCAAGCCAGGGGUGAAAGUCCUGCUUUUAAGGUGGGAAUUGCUUUGGAAACUGGCGGGCUGGAGUGCAGGAGAGGUUAGUGGAAUUCCUAGUGUAGCGGUGAAAUCCGUAGAUAUUAGGAGGAACACCGGUGGCGAAGGCGGCUACCUGGACCGAUAUUGACGCUGAGACGCGAAAGCGUGGGGAGCAAACAGGAUUAGAUACCCUGGUAGUCCACGCCGUAAACGAUGAGUACUAGGUGUUGCGGGUAUUGACCCCUGCAGUGCCGCAGCUAACGCAUUAAGUACUUCCGCCUGGGGAGUACGCACGCAAGUGUGAAACUCAAAGGAAUUGACGGGGGCCCGCACAAGCAGCGGAGCAUGUGGUUUAAUUCGAAGCAACGCGAAGAACCUUACCAGGUCUUGACAUCCAGUAAAAACUGUAGAGAUACAGUGUGCCUUCGGGCGUACUGAGACAGGUGGUGCAUGGUUGUCGUCAGCUCGUGUCGUGAGAUGUUGGGUUAAGUCCCGCAACGAGCGCAACCCUUAUUUUUAGUUACUAACGCGUGAAGGCGAGGACUCUAAAGAGACUGCCGGGGACAACUCGGAGGAAGGUGGGGACGACGUCAAAUCAUCAUGCCCCUUAUGACCUGGGCUACACACGUGCUACAAUGGCUACUACAAAGAGGAGCAAAACCGCGAGGUGAAGCGAAUCCCAUAAAGCCGGUCUCAGUUCGGAUCGUGGGCUGCAACCCGCCCACGUGAAGUCGGAGUUGCUAGUAAUCGCGGAUCAGCAUGCCGCGGUGAAUACGUUCCCGGGCCUUGUACACACCGCCCGU